rnacentral:rRNA from 1 species
GCAUAUCAAUAAGCGGAGGAAAAGAAACCAACUGGGAUUGCCUUAGUAACGGCGAGUGAAGCGGCAAUAGCUCAAAUUUGAAAGCUGGCCCCUUUGGGGUCCGCGUUGUAAUUUGUAGAGGAUGAUUCGGCGAGGGCUCCCGUCUAAGUCCCCUGGAACGGGGCGUCACAGAGGGUGAGAAUCCCGUAUGUGAUGGGUUGCCUUAGCCAUGUGAAUCUCCUUCGACGAGUCGAGUUGUUUGGGAAUGCAGCUCUAAAUGGGAGGUAAAUUUCUUCUAAAGCUAAAUACCGGCCAGAGACCGAUAGCGCACAAGUAGAGUGAUCGAAAGAUGAAAAGCACUUUGGAAAGAGAGUUAAAAAGUACGUGAAAUUGUUGAAAGGGAAGCGCUUGCAGCCAGACUUGUCCGCAGUUGCUCAGCCGGUCUCCUGACCGGCGUACUCUUCUGCGGCCAGGCCAGCAUCAGUUCGGGCGGUCGGAUAAAGACCUCGGGAAUGUAGCUCCUCUCGGGGAGUGUUAUAGCCCGGGGUGGAAUGCGGCCAGCCUGGACUGAGGAUCUCGCUUCGGCUAGGAUGCUGGCGUAAUGGCUGUAAGCGGCCCGUCUUGAAACACGGACCAAGGAGUCUAACAUCUAUGCGAGUGUUUGGGUGUCAAACCCAUACGCGUAAUGAAAGUGAACGGAGGUGGGAACCGCAAGGUGCACCAUCGACCGAUCCUGAUGUCUUCGGAUGGAUUUGAGUAAGAGCAUAGCUGUUGGGACCCGAAAGAUGGUGAACUAUGCCUGAAUAGGGUGAAGCCAGAGGAAACUCUGGUGGAGGCUCGCAGCGGUUCUGACGUGCAAAUCGAUCGUCAAAUUUGGGUAUAGGGGCGAAAGACUAAUCGAACCAUCUAGUAGCUGGUUCCUGCCGA